CCCAUCAUUUUAAACCUCAAUUAUCUUCACCAAACAAGGAAAAUAAAAUUGAUAACCUAUGAGGCAAUGAAGACAGCAUGGCCAAUCUCUGCUCUGUUUUCUGCACACCGGGUGAGCAUCAUGAACUGUUAUACUUGCCUUAAGAGUAUUUUUCAUUUAAUAAGAUGCUCACUUAUAUUUAUAUGAAUAAAUAAACCUUUCAGUUUCUUGUUGGUAAAAGAAAUCCCUGUCAUCCUUCCCGCCACAACCUGUUGUGGCCUUCAUGCCUUAGUAUGUGCCUGAUCCUUACAGAGUUGCAGGGCAACUACUAGACUCCAUGAGUUGGCAAAUAUAUAUUUAGAGGCGAAUAAGGACAUUUAAUCAUUUCAUGUACCACGAACAUCAUAGAAACUAGAUUGAGCGCGCGCAGAUAUGUAGAGUACAUAAUUUGAUACAUUUUCCUUUUAUUGAUCAUUUGGCUGAUGCUUCUCCUGCUGCCUGGAUUUUCUUCUAAAGAAAAGUGACAAUGAACACUGGCGAAACAUAUGACCAAGAGUCCACAGGACCUAGAUCAUCGACUCUGCCCAGGUUAGCUAUCUUUCUAUAACCAGUAUUUUUUUGGUUUGAUCAUUUCGCCAGACCAUGUGUCUUUGAUUUAAUUGAUAUGUUGUUUAUUCCUUUGAUUCAGUAUAAAUAGGCUGUAAACUUCGAGUCUAGGUAUUCCCCUAAUGCAACUGUAUAUGCUGUUGAAAACUGCAGGCCGCUCCAGCAGUAGUGAGGAUCCCUUACAGUAUGAUAAUUGAUAUGCUAACAGAACUAGGAUUACCAAAGGUUUAAUAUCGUUAGAAAAUAUAUGACGGCAGCAAGGCCUGUGUCACUGUCUUUUGUAGCACUCCUAUGCUACUCCAUGAUUGUGAAUCUACCCGUGCAUCCAUAUCUACAGUCCUUUCCAUAGAUGAUGAUGCAGCAGAGGACACAGUUGCUAUUGAAGCUAAAGGUGCUUGGAAAACGCAACCAACACAGAGAUCAGACUACAAUGAAAAUCACAUGAAGCGCCUCCAAACCUGAAUGAGCAGCUCAUGCACCUGCUCAACAUAGUGAAUGGGAGCAAAGAAAAGCUUGCCAGGGGUUGAUUCCUUGCCGUGAGGCACAUGAGGUCCUUCUGUAAACAAAUACAAAACUUGACCUCUAUAAUGCCCAAGACGCCAUAAGAUGAGGUCAUAAACACAGCUCUAGGCAAUAUCAGUGGUAGCAUUUUAAUUCUGCACAGUGAGCUAUGUAGUAGAUUUGCUGUCACUUGUGAUGUAACUCUUUUGAUGUGAAUCCUAAGUGAUGCAAUUUGUGCUUUGGGUGCAGGGGAGGCUGCUGAUGGGGGCUAACCUGGCUAUCGAGGGACAUGCUAGCGAGAUAUGCACAAGGGCAAUGUUUGGGCGUAUAUUUUAUGAGUGUGGCGCAUACCAGGUUUUAUAUGCGAAGAAGAACAGAUCAUAUCUUGCAAUGAUGGAGGGUGGGGAUGACUUUGACUGUGAGUGUGGGCAGUUCGCCCACAUGGGUAUACUACACACCCAUGUUUUUGAGGUAUUGUUUUCCUUAAAUUAGUAUAGUUUACAGUACUAGCAAUGCAAAUGUGGAGGGUUGGUACCAAAAAAUGAACAAUGUUGUUUUUAGAAAAUGUGGGUACUGGACUUUAUCCAUGUGAAGCAGAUCCCCGAGACACACAUACUAGCAUAGCACUAGUGAAAAUCUAAAUAGUACCUACAACCUCGGAAGCUUGCUAGGUGCGAGAAUUGUGGGGUUAAGGGCCACAGGAGAAACAACUGCACAGAACCAAUGGAUCUGAGAUUAGGGGGUGUCUGAUGCUGGUGUGAAGUGCAUGGCUGCAGCAGCAGCAUCAGUUCUGACUGAUGAAAACCAAGGAGAGCAAGGGUGUAAUCUAAAGAUAUGUUGAUGUGUUCUGGGCAUUUUCUAUUUAUGUUGUACUCAUGUACUGUGUGGUACCGUCCGGCAGUGAGGCUGGCUAUGGAUGUAUCUAUGCAGUGCAUUUCCAGGAUCAGGUGUUUCGAUGUAGAAUUAUUGUUAUUUUCACGUGAUCCAUGGCCCCACCUGGUGUGUGUGAUGCCGGUGACUAGAGUGGCAUGUUGCCUGUGACUCAAUUGCAGUGCUUCUCUGUGUUAUCUGAUACUGAAUUCUGAUGCUUGUUCAGGCAGACUUGUGGCGCUUGUUUGUGUCGCGUGAAACUGAAUUGUGUCACCUGAAGUUGUAUAGAGAAUAUCUAAAAUAAGUGGAAUCAGGGGUGAUGUGAUCAUUCGGCGUUGGGUAGCAUCAA
rnacentral:lncRNA from 1 species